AGGCUCCCCACUGAGCAGAGAGCCCGAUGUGGGACUCGAUCCCAGGACCCUGGGAUCAUGACCUGAGCCAAAGGCAUAGGCUUUAACCCACUGAGCCACCCAGGCACCCCCAAAAUCUCUUUAUUUUUAAACUAACGUGGACAGCAAAUUGUUUCUCUCUUCUCAAGUAGAAAGCCCUUUGGCCUCUGACAUCACUGGGAGAAAAAACUACUCCGCGGCUUUUUACCGCUAAAGUGACGCGUAGUAUUAGUCCUUGCUCGUUCUGAAUUUAUAAUCUGCCUCAAAGAGGAGUUUGUGCUACAUAAUGUCUGCAGGGAUUAAACCAGGGUCAGUUCGCUGAAUCUUGCUCCGUGGCUUCUCACUGCAGGAAAUUAGAAGAGCUAUUCUCAGUCCAAUAAACUAUUAAUCUAUUCACGAAUUGAGGUCUGCAGAGAGGUAGGAGAGGUUGACCCUGUUGAAGUAUGUGUUCAUGGCAGUCAGUUCCCAGGGUUGAAGAGGGAGGUCCGUGGACCUGGUUGUUUUAGUUCGUUUAGCUUGUGAAGAAAACUGGUGUUCGAGAGUUCCAAGGCCUCAGAAAAAUACCAGUGGGAGACCUCCUGCCACGAUUUUUAUAAAGGAAAGCUAAUUAAAAUGAAUAAUUGAGGUAGUCUUGAAGUAGAAAACAAACUUGCAGAAUGCCAGUGUGCGGUUAGUUGACUCAAAGUGCGAAACGGGCAAACUUUUUUUUUUUUUUUUCUAUUUCCUUUGCCUUGGAUUGUAGGCUAUUUUAAUAAUGGCCCCCACAGAUGUCCUCCUCCUGAUCAUCAGAACCUGUGAAUAUGUUCUCUUCUGUGGCAAAGGGGACUUAGCAGAUUCGGCUAGGUUAAAGAUAGGAAGAUGGGAAAAUCACGUGGAUUAUCCAGGUGGGACCCAUGUCAUUAUAAUGGUCCUUGUAAGAGGGAGGUUGGAGUGUCAGAUUUUGAAUGUGUGACAAUCAAAGCAGAGGUGAGAAAAAGAAAGAGAUUUGAAGAUGCUGUGCUGUGGACUUUGAAGAUGGAGGAAGGAACCGGGAUCCACGGAAUAAAGACAGCCUCUAGAAUCUGGAAAGAUAAGGAAACUGAGACACAGGGAAUACAUAUUUGCUCAAUGUGACAUAGCUGUUUUGUAGGACAUUAUGAAAUUUGGUGUAACUAUGAAGCUUACACCUUCAGAAACUCCAGCAGAAAUUUUGCAAUUACCUUGAUUCUGUCAGAAUGAUUUGUGGAAAUGUGGAAUGUGUUUGUCAGACAACCGCAUCAGGGACAGUUAAGUGGAAGCCAGAAGCAUGAGUCUUGUGGUCAUCCAAAAUGCUGGAUUAGUCUGCACACCAGGCCCCGGUGAACUGCAAUUGCUCCUGCUGCAUGACUAGUACUGGUAGCGCCUGCAUUCCUAGCUGUGUCUGUCGAUCUCUGCUGUGCUGGUCUGCUGAGGGUGGAACCAAAGGAGGACCAAUGACUGGUGCCCCCAAAGGCUGGUGAAAUGAAAGUAUUAUGGGACUCUUCACCCUGAAAAGUUUUCUCAACUGCUCUGUUACCACUCAACUAAGGACGUCUGAAGGACCGAAAGACCCCUAGUCAUCUUCUACACCAGUGCUUCUCAGAUUGGAUUUACCUGCAGGGCUUUAAAACUUGCUUAGCAUAAGCAUCCUGUAACAAGUGGAAAUCUCUGAAAUUGGACCCCAGGCAUCAAAGGUUUAAAAAUUCUCCAGGUGAUUCAUUGGGAGCCUCCAUAAUAGUAAGUGGCCUAGGCCAGUCAUCCUCACAUUUGUGCAUAAGAACCGCCUAUAGAAUUUGUUACAGCAUGGAUUCUUGGCCCUUACUCCCAGAGGAUCUAAUUCAGUACAUCUGGACUUGGGUCUGAAGCACUUCAAAAUCCCAGGGGAUGUGGACUGAGCUGAACCCCACCGCCAUUCACUUGUUAAAGAUAAGGCUUUUAGGAGGUAAAGAUACUUGAAGUUAUAUAAGUGGUGUCAUCCUUUAGGACUGGUGACCUUAUGAGAAGAAGAAAAGAGAAAAAUCCUUCUCUUUCUACACAUGCAUGCCCCAGGAGAGGCCAUGUGAGGACACAGUGAGAAAACAGGAAGAGAGCCCCCCCCCCCACAAGACGGAAUUGAUCUUGGACUUUCUAGCCUCCACUACUGUGAGAAAUAAAUUUCUGUUGUGUAAGACACCCAGCGUAUGGUAUUUUGUUGUGGCAGCCCAAGCUGACUAAUAGGCCAAGCGGUGCUGAUGCUGGUGGUCCAUAGACCGCAUUCUGAGUACACUAGCUGAAGCCACAUUCCCCAGGAAUUCGGUUUCAAUUUGUCUGAGGGUAAGUGCAGGGCAUCAUUAUUUUUUAAUGUUUCCCGGGUGAUGUUGAUGUAUAACCAGGACUGAGAACCUCUGAUCAAGGCCAAUUGCUUCAACUUAAAGCUAAUGACACUGAGACUCAAGGAGGUUAAGUGGGUUGCCCUAGUUAUCAUGUAUGCUAUGGCUAAAUUUUCCAGAUUUAUAGGGGGAGAAAAAAUUACUCCUGAGGCCACACACUAGUAUGUGAAAGAUUUAGCCCUAGACCCCAACACUCUCCAUUUCUAGGACUGACCCAUUCAUUUCUCCCCAAACAGCAUUAAUUUAUUUAAUUCAGGUAGAUUCAUUUUAAGUAGCUUUUUAAUUGUAGUACAAUCCAAGAAUGUUGUAUUCUGUGUUCUAGGUCUGCUCCAAAAUUGUUGCUAUUUGUUAUGACGUGCUUAAUGACUGAUCAUGAAGUGAGAUUAUACACACACACACACACACACACACACAAUUCAUAUGUAUAUAUAUACCUCCAU